rnacentral:rRNA from 1 species
AGCGCAGACGGUUGAUUAAGUCUGAUGUGAAAGCCCGGGGCGCAACUCCGGAAUGGCAUUGGAAACUGGUUAACUUGAGUGCAGUAGAGGUAAGUGGAACUCCAUGUGUAGCGGUGGAAUGCGUAGAUAUAUGGAAGAACACCAGUGGCGAAGGCGGCUUACUGGACUGUAACUGACGUUGAGGCUCGAAAGUGUGGGUAGCAAACA